rnacentral:rRNA from 1 species
UACGUAGGGGGCGAGCGUUGUCCGGAUUUAUUGGGCGUAAAGAGCGUGUAGGCGGUUCGGUAAGUCUGUCGUGAAAUCCUGAGGCUCAACCUCGGGCGUGCGAUGGAUACUGCCAGGCUAGAGUCCGGAAGAGGCGAGUGGAACUCCUGGUGUAGCGGUGGAAUGCGCAGAUAUCAGGAAGAACACCGACGGCGAAGGCAGCUCGCUGGGACGGUACUGACGCUGAGGCGCGAAAGCGUGGGGAGCGAACAGG